UUGAAAUGUUGAGAAAGGUUGUAAGCUGGCCCAUUGGGGCAUAUGUGCACACCUUGAUCACAUAUCCAUAUCUUACACCUGUGCACAACCUGUAGCUUUGGGAUCCAAAAGCCCUAGCUAUGAUUUUUUUCAUAUAUACUCAUAAUAGUACUUUUGUAAUAAAUGAAUGGAAAUA
rnacentral:misc_RNA from 1 species